UUGUCAACGGGAGACACAAUGUUGCAGUGGUUAGUAAGGCAGCUUAUGACUCAUGCAACACAACUUCUCCUAUCAACACAAUUAGCACUGGUCCUGCUACGAUCACACUCACAAAUUCUGGUGAAAAUUACUACAUGUGCACUUUCCCUAGCCACUGCUCAUUAGGUCAAAAGCUAGCCAUCAACGUCACCGGCACCAGCGCCGCCGCCCCCACGCCUUCUAUCGCCGCUACACCAUCUGGCACCACCGUCCCAUCCGUCCCCUCGAGCGAUUCUCCGGUCACUUCACCACCAUCACCAAGUGCGUCAGCUCCAUCUUUGGUCCUUGCAGCUUUGCCAGUCACUUUCUUGUCACUUGCCUUUGCUAGAUUGUUGAAUUAAGUAGUAUAGUAUUGAUUUUAUGAAAUUCUUUUACUUGUUUUUUUUUCUUUUUUUGUUAUCUUUAUAUAUGGAUCUGACAUUUUUGUUGUACCAAUAAAGCUGAAUUUUUGGAUUCCAGCUAAAAAAAAUUUCUUGUUGAUUUUAAUGUAAUGAAAUUUCAAUCUUCC
rnacentral:lncRNA from 1 species